UGGGGGAUAUUGCACAAUGGGCGAAAGCCUGAUGCAGCGACGCCGCGUGGGGGAUGAAGGCCUUCGGGUUGUAAACUUCUUUUGCUCUGAACAAGGCGCACCAUGGGGUGUGUUGAGUGUAGGGGUUGAUUAGCGCCGGCUAACUACGUGCCAUCAGCCGCGGUAAUACGUAGGGCGCGAGCGUUGUCCGGAAUUAUUAGGCGUAAAGGGCUUGUAGGUGGCUGGUUGCGUCUGUCGUGAAAGCUCAUGGCUUAACUGUGGGUUUGCGGUGGGUACGGGCGGGCUUGAGUGCAGUAGGGGAGGCUGGAAUUCCUGGUGUAGCGGUGGAAUGCGCAGAUAUCAGGAGGAAUACCGGUGGCGAAGGCGGGUCUCUGGGCUGUUACUGACACUGAGGAGCGAAAGCAUGGGGAGCGAACAGG
rnacentral:rRNA from 1 species